rnacentral:rRNA from 1 species
UACGGAGGGUGCAAGCGUUAUCCGGAUUCACUGGGUUUAAAGGGUGCGUAGGUGGGUCUGUAAGUCCGUGGUGAAAUCUCCGAGCUUACUCGGAAACUGCCGUGGAUACUAUCAAUCUUGAAUAUCGUGGAGGUAAGCGGAAUAUGUCAUGUAGCGGUGAAAUGCUUAGAUAUGACAUAGAACACCAAUUGCGUAGGCAGCUUACUACACGAUCAUUGACGCUGAGGCACGAAAGCGUGGGGAGCAAACAGG